rnacentral:rRNA from 1 species
CCUACGGGCGGCAGCAGUGAGGAAUAUUGGUCAAUGGACGAGAGUCUGAACCAGCCAAGUAGCGUGAAGGAUGACUGCCCUAUGGGUUGUAAACUUCUUUUAUAUGGGAAUAAAAUGCUCUACGUGUGGGAUUUUGUAUGUACCAUAUGAAUAAGGAUCGGCUAACUCCGUGCCAGCAGCCGCGGUAAUACGGAGGGUCCGAGCGUUAUCCGGAUUUAUUGGGUUUAAAGGGUGCGUAGGUGGAUUGUUAAGUCAGUUGUGAAAGUUUGCGGCUCAACCCUAAAAUUGCAGUUGAAACUGGCAGUCUUGAGUACAGUAGAGGUGGGCGGAAUUCGUGGUGUAGCGGUGAAAUGCUUAGAUAUCACAAAGAACUCCGAUUGCGAAGGCAGCUCACUGGACUGCAACUGACACUGAGGCUCGAAAGUGUGGGUAGCAAACAGGAUUAGAUACCCGGGUAGUC